GCGAGGGUGCCCAAGUGGCUAAGGGGCGCGGCUGCAACCCGCGUAUUCAUGGGUUCGAAUCCCAUCCCUCGCU
rnacentral:tRNA from 1 species